ensembl:snRNA U6 U6 spliceosomal RNA
AUGCUUGCUUUGGCAGCACAUAUACUAAACUGGAAUGAUUCAGAGAAGAUUAGCAUGGCCCUUGCACGUGGAUGACACGCAAAUUCAUGAAGUGUUCCAUUAAAUC